AAGGCAUCAAUGCAAAUCCAAUUUUGGCUCCUCUAUGGGAUAUUGGCAUUUUGGCUAGCACAGGAUCUGUGGCUCAACCAUUCGCAAUCAAAAACACUGCUGCUUUAGACUACAUUGAUGGAGAUGCUGUACAAAAUACAGCAGUACUAAACGAAGUAAUUUUUAAACACUUUGAAAAGCUUGUCGUUCUUAGAACGGUAAUAAUUUGUACUUUUCAUGCAAGGGCGCCCUAACUUAUGUCACAGGAAGCGUAACUCAAGUUGCUCCAGUGAACGCUGCUGCUGGCAACUUCGUUGGCAACCAAAGAUGCUACUCAACUGGGUCUAGUGAAUGCUGUACAUAGUGAUAUUGAAGAAAAAAGGUUUAUUAGCAUAUAUGUUACUUAUCUCUAUUCGAUAAUUUC